UCAAAUACCUGGCAGGGGCAAUUCCAUGAUCAAAGAGGUGGUUUGCGCAAUGCGAGGCUUGUCAGUGCACUCAGACUGUGCUGACCUUUGCGAAUUCCCCAAAUGAGGGAAUCUUGACUGCAUAAUUUCUGACAUUGGGGGACUGUGUUGGUGCUCUCCCCUG